AGAAAGGAUUGUACAAGACCGGAACCUACUCCGCCAUCCCUGUCCGCUCUCCAACGUUUUCUAGUUCACGCCACAUAUCCACCCAUCUCAAUAGACGACCUGGUUCUUCAUUCCAGUAUUCACCACCCUUCCCCUGACUUCAAUAAAUCAUUAUUGUAUUCAU